UAACACGGAGGGUGCAAGCGUUGUUCGGAAUUACUAGGCGUAAAGGGUGUGUAGGUGGUUAGCUAAGUCAGAUGUGAAAAUUCCGAGCUCAACUCGGAACCUGCAUUUGAAACUAGUUAACUUGAGUGUAGGAGAGGAGAGCGGAAUUCCUAGUGUAGCGGUGAAAUGCGUAGAUAUUAGGAAGAACACCGGUGGCGAAGGCGGCUCUCUGGCCUAAAACUGACACUGAGACACGAAAGCGUGGGGAGCGAACAGGAUUAGAUACCCUGGUAGUCCACGCCGUAAACGAUGGGCAUUAGGUGUAGGAGGUAUCCAAUCCUUCUGUGCCGAAGUUAACGCAUUAAAUGCCCCGCCUGGGGAGUACGACCGCAAGGUUG
rnacentral:rRNA from 1 species